AUUUUCAGAUUCUCUUAUGCUUUGAAGACAAGAACCUGCACUGUCCUACUGGCAACACUUUUAGAUACCCUCUGAGAUCAGUGUGCUUGUUUAUACCAGAAAAAUGUCAUCACCAGGCCCCUUAGUCACAAAGUGUAUCAAGAAGUCAUCUGCGGUCAUUUUUUACAGUUUCCAGGCCACUUUCUGUUUCCAAUCAGUGUAGUUCCUAUGUGGCAUGACUCAGAUACAAGUUUCUAUAGACAUUUUCUUCUGUGGCUGCUAGUGAGAACCCAAACCAGCUCAGCCAAUUAGAGCUCCAGUUGUCACUCCUACCCACACUGGGCCUGGGGGUGAAGGGAAGUGUUUAUUAGAGGUACAUGUGAAUCCGUCCAGAAGUGUCAGAGUCUUUGUAGCUUUGAAAGUCACCUAGGUUAUUUGGGCAUGCUCUCCUGAGUCCUCUGCUAGUUAAGCUCUCUGAAAAGAAGGUGGCCGACCCGGUUUGCUGAUCGCCCCAGGGAUCAGGAGGCUGAUCCCAAAGUUGUCAGAUGGAGAGUAAAUACAAGGAGAUACUCUUGCUAACAGGCCUGGAUAACAUCACUGAUGAGGAACUGGAUAGGUUUAAGUUCUUUCUUUCAGACGAGUUUAAUAUCGCCACAGGCAAACUACAUACUGCAAACAGAAUACAAGUAGCUAACUUGAUGAUUCAAAAUGCUGGGGCGGUGUCUGCAGUGAUGAAGACCAUUCGUAUUUUUCAGAAGUUGAAUUAUAUGCUUUUGGCAAAACGUCUUCAGGAAGAGAAGGAGAAAGUUGAUAAGCAAUACAAAUCGGUAACAAAACCAAAGCCACUAAGUCAAGCUGAAAUGAGUCCUGCUGCAUCUGCAGCCAUCAGAAAUGAUGUCGCAAAGCAACGUGCUGCACCAAAAGUCUCUCCUCAUGCUAAGCCUGAACAGAAACAGAUGGUGGCCCAGCAGGAAUCUAUCAGAGAAGGGUUUCAGAAAGGCUGUUUGCCAGUUAUGGUACUGAAAGCAAAGAAGCCCUUCACGUUUGAGACCCAAGAAGGCAAGCAGGAGAUGUUUCAUGCUACAGUGGCUACAGAAAAGGAAUUCUUCUUUGUAAAAGUUUUUAAUACACUGCUGAAAGAUAAAUUCAUUCCAAAGAGAAUAAUUAUAAUAUCAAGAUAUUAUCAGCACAGUGGUUUCUUAGAGGUAAAUAGUGCCUCACGUGUGUUAGAUGCUGAAUCUGACCAAAAGGUUAAUGUCCCACUGAACAUUAUCAGAAAAGCUGGUGAAACCCCGAAGAUCAACACGCUUCAAACUCAGCCCCUUGGAACAAUUGUGAAUGGUUUGUUUGUAGUCCAGAAGGUAACAGAAAAGAAGAAAAAUGUAUUAUUUGACCUAAGUGACAACACUGGGAAAAUGGAAGUACUGGUGGUUAGAAACGAGGACACAAUGAAAUGUAAGGAAGGAGAUAAGGUUCGACUUACAUUCUUCACACUGUCAAAAAAUGGAGAAAAACUACAGCUGACAUCUGGAGUUCAUAGCACCAUAAAGGUUAUUAAGGCCAAAAAAAAAACAUAGAGAAAUAAAAAGGACCAAUUCAAGCCAACUGGUCUAAGCAGCAUUUAAUUGAAGAAUAUGUGAUACAGCCUCUUCAAUCAGAUUAUCUAGGGGAAGCUCCAGCUUCUCAUCUACUUGAUUUGAGUCCCAUGGAGAAGCUGGUAAGGUGGAAAAAUAUGACACGGUGCGGUCAAGGCAUUAGAGGAUGAAGCUAUUGAAGUGAAAACGAAAUUGAAGAGGCAAAUUCUUUUGAGCAGAGGGUAAUUUUUUUCUUAUUUCAUUUAAAGAUAGAUUGUCCUUAGGAAGUACAGUUCAAAGGGGAAUCAGCAUGAUGUUAAGGAAAGCAAGCAAAGGUGGGGAUGUAGCAGCCCACCUAAAUGACACUAACUCCAAAUCACCAUCAUCCAGGGUACUCAAGAAUAGGCAAUUACAGAAAGCUUACCUCAAGUGAUAUGAAUAUGAAAUAUUAGACUAGCUGAGAAUACAAACAUCAUCUGUGUAUAAAACAGUCCUUUUUCUUACUGUUCAUUAAGUCAAAUUUGAAGUUAGAGGCAGUUUUAGCAGUCUAUGACAUCUUAGGAUGGCAUCUGUUCCUAACUAGCUGAGUGAUACUGUGAUUUUGACCACUUCACUCAAUCUCUCUGAACUUCAGUAUUCUCAAAGAUGAGAAAACUGGCUUCUGUAGCAUCUGAAGUUUCUUCAGAAUCUGGUUUCCCAAAAUGAGCAAAAUAAUCUUAAACACAUAUACACACACAUACACAUACACAGAUAUAUGUGUGUGUGUUUGGUGUGUGUGUGUGUGUAUAAGAAUAGCAUUGGGCAAAAAAAUAUAAAAAUGUCUAAUUGGCAUCUAAGCCUACUAUAAUGGAAGACACAUAAGCAGAAAAGUGGUGUAAAACAGUACGUUUUUAUUAUUUCACUCUUUGACGGCAGACCACAAUGGUAAACUUUAACGUCUCUUUUCCUUAUUGGGCAUAGAUAGCUUUGGACCUUCGCAGUAGUGAGACAGCCAGAUGGGAAGGGGUCCCCAGAGAAACUCCGGCCCGCACACUGGGCAGAGUGUGCACUGGGGUGGAGCCACAGAAGUUUGCGCCAUUUGCAGUGGACAGGAGCCUGGCCCCUCCUCUUCCUGGAUGGAACCUGAAAUUCAAACUGUGAGGCGGGAAGUGCACUAGCAAGGACUCUGGCUUUGUGGACCAUCCCUCUUUCCCUCUUUUCCUUUUCACCCAAAAAAGCCUGCCCUCCUCAUGCUUCAUGUUGUCUGUGACCCUAAUUUUUCAUGGCCAUGUGAUAAGGACCCCUGUCUUUAGCUGAAAUAAGGAAAAGUCCCACAACAUUUUUGGUGCCCAAAGUGGGGCUCGAGAAUCGGUGAGUGAGAUGCAAACCAAGGAAUCUUUUUCUCUCUCCUUUCUGAGCCUUUCAUCCUCAGACUUCUGAGGGUAGGGGAAAUCAUGCCCCCACCCCCGUUGUCACUUCCAGGGGUUGGGAUGGUCGACCUGUCUCCAUGGCCUUUUACUUCCUUUUUCCAGAUGAACCGGUGAGCAGUGGCUCCUCAUCACCCUCCCCUCCCUGCUGGGGCUGGGAUACACAUCCCAAGGCGCCCCAGGUACAUGGCUGUGUUUACUGCCAUGGGCCCAUGGAGUCUCUCCCUCCCCAGGUCAAGGAGGCCAGCUUCAUCCCACACUCCUUUUUUUUUUUUUUUUUUUUUUGAGACAGACUCUUGCUCUGUCACCUAGGCUGGAGUGCAGUGGCAUGAUCUUAGCUCACUGCAACCUCCGCCUCCCAGGUUCAAGCAAUUGUCCUGCCUUAGCCUCCCAAGUAGCUGGGACUACAGGCAUGCACCACCACGCCUGGCUAAUGUUUGUAUGUUUAGUAGAGAUGGAGUUUCACCAUGUUGGCCAGGCUGGUCUCGAACUCCUGACCUCAAGUGAUCUGCUGGCCUUGGCCUCCCAAAAUGCUGGGUCUAGAGGCAUGAGCCACCGUGCCCAGCCUAAGAAUGUCACUUUCUAACAGGUCCAAGAACUCCAAGUUUAUCUUGGGACCUUAAAAGAGAAUCACUCAACUCACAGGCAUUUGAGAAUACAAACCCAUGACUGGGCUUGGCUUUAAAAGGUCUUAUCUGAGACUCCUUGUGAAACAGAGUUCCAUCAAAGCCAAUCCAAAAGGCCUAUGUAGAAAUAAUUAUUCCUCUUGCACUUUAUGCAAAUAAUCAGACCAAGUGUAAGACUACAAUCUAUUUUGCAAACAACUCAGUCCUAUCAUGAUUUAUGUUUUUUUUGUUUGUUUGUUUGUUUUUUCCAAAAAUGAGGACUGGAGAGAAAGAAAUUGUGUUUCAAAACUUAUCAUACAUUUGCCAUUAAAUUCUAAACUCAUUAGUUGUUUUUAAGUUUUUGCCUACAGUUUAGAUGAACCUUGCUUGUUCCUGUGAACCAACCAGCAAGCUCCAGCUACAGCUCAGAAAGAACAAAAGGCCAUCAAACUCCAGUCAUGCAACUGGAGAGGCGGACAAUGGCCCAUUCUGCUGGGAACCCUUAAAUAGGCCUCUGAGGGACUUUGACUGCUGUUUUGCCAAAACAGCACCCCCUGUCAGCAGGAAGCAGUUAAGAUCGGUCUUUGUCCUUAUCCUUAUCCUUAUUCUAAUGGCAGUUAGAUGCAUUUUUUUAGAGGGGGCAAUGAGACAGCCAGGUGGGAACGGGUCCCCAGAGAAACUCCAGCCUGCACACUGGGAGGAGUGUGCACUGGGGUGAAGCCACAGAAGUUUGCGCCAUUUGCAGUGGGGAAGAGCCCAGCCCCUCCUCUUCCUGGGUGGAACCUGAAAUUCAAACUGCCAGGUGGGAAGCCCACAAGCAGGGAGUCUGGCUUUGCAGAAGGACCGUUUCCCUCUUUUCCUUUUCACCCAAUAAACUCUGCCCUCCUCACACUUCAAA